rnacentral:rRNA from 1 species
GAUGAACGCUGGCGGUAUGCUUAACACAUGCAAGUCGAACGGACUCUUCGGAGUUAGUGGCGGACGGGUGAGUAACGCGUGAGAAUCUGGCUUUGGGUUCGGGACAACCACUGGAAACGGUGGCUAAUACCGGAUGUGCCGAGAGGUAAAAGAGAAAUUGCCUGAAGAUGAGCUCGCGUCUGAUUAGCUAGUUGGUGAGGUAAAGGCUCACCAGGGCAGCGAUCAGUAGCUGGUCUGAGAGGAUGACCAGCCACACUGGGACUGAGACACGGCCCAGACUCCUACGGGAGGCAGCAGUGGGGAAUUUUCCGCAAUGGGCGAAAGCCUGACGGAGCAAUACCGCGUGAGGGAAGAAGGCUCUUGGGUUGUAAACCUCUUUUCUUAGGGAAGAACAAAAUGACGGUACCUAAGGAAUCAGCAUCGGCUAACUCCGU